UCACAGAUUCUGGGAAGUAAGCCUCUCUCUGUCCUACAAGGAUUACUGCAGUAUUCAGCCUUCUCUCAUCAGAUGCCAAGUUGUAGAAGGCUUAGUGGCACUUAUACACUGAGCCUGAAGAGAUGGAAGGCAACUACAAACCCUCAACUUCAUGAGCCUGGGCUGAGUGCACACUGAAGACAGAGAAUGGAGAGAGGAGCUGGAAGACAGGAUAUCAGCAAGUUUGGAAGAUGAGAAUGUCGCAAAGAAGACCAAGGCCAUGGUGGAGCAUGUGGUUGCCCGAGGAGGGGAGAAUAACCACAAGCGGAGUCCAGAAAACCGAAGGGAAAACCGAAGAAUGCAAGUGGCAGCAGCGUGAGCUGAGCGGGGAGGACUCGGAGAGUCACUUAGUCCACAGUGAGCCUGUGCCCAUGCCACGGAGCCCCACAAGAUGGAUCAGGAUUCAUUUGUACUGCUGGAGAACUGUACCAGUUCCCAGAGGAGGAGAAGGUGCCCACGAGGCUGUGCCCCAGAUCCUGAGCUUCAACCUUGGAGCUGCCUUACGGUGGAUGUCUUCCAAGGACCCUAGACUGAGACCAGAUUUCCGCUCCUUGCCAACACCUGGGUUCCAAGGUAGCCCAAAGCAGCUGAUACUUCCCAGGUCUCCGGAGGAAACUUCUGGUAUCGGUAGCUCCCACCUCUGACUUGGCCAGCUGGAGAAAUCAAGGCAAGUUCACAAAGUCUAAUAGGGGCGUCCUUGUACUAACGAUCAGUGAUGUUGUGCCUUUGUCUCUGAGAACUUCAGUGCUUUCCAGACUUCAGUAUUCUCUCUCCAUAUAAAAUCCUGUAAAUAGGGGUGCCUGGGUGGCUCAGUCGUUGAGCCUCUGCCUUCAGUUCAGGUCUUGCUCCCAGGUUCCUGGGAUGGAACCCCACCUCGGGCUCCCUCCUCAGUGGGGAGCCAGCUUCCCCCUCACCCACUGGCCCUGCUUGUGUUCCAUCUGUCACUGUGUCUCUCUCUGACAAAUAAUGUAAUGGGAGUCUUCCAGAAAUGUGCAUAGUGGCCAGAUUGUAGAUCAAGUAACUAAAAACAACAAGGAGAUCUGGAAACGAUUGCUGGGGUAAAUUAAAGGCAAUCUAAAUGAAUAGAAAGACAUCUAUCCCAUGCAUAGAUUAGGAGACACCAGGUUAUUGGAAUACCAAAUCAGUUUCAUUCGCACUCACAUGGGAGAAGACACACUGGGGGCAAAUGUUCAAGCUAAUUCUAAAAAUGUAUAUGCACAUCGAGGUACUGAGACUAGCAAGAUGGCCAUGAAGCCUUCAAUUGGAGAAAUUCACUCCAUGUCAAAGCUCAUCAUGAAGCUAUGGUCAUUAAAGCACUACGUUAUAGUGUAAGUAAUCACAAUGUAUAUAUAUAUGAACAAGAGAGAGUAUUGAGUAAAAAAUAUCCCCAUGCACACAUACAAUGUUUAAACUUUUUUUUUGGAUUAUUUUUAAGUCAUCUCUACAUCCAACAUGGGGCUCACACCUACAACUCUGCAGACAAACAUCGCUUGCUCCACCUAUUGAGCCACCCAGGAAC
rnacentral:lncRNA from 1 species